UACGUAGGGUGCAAGCGUUAAUCGGAAUUACUGGGCGUAAAGCGUGCGUAGGCGGUUUGGUAAGACAGAUGUGAAAUCCCCGGGCUUAACCUGGGAAUUGCAUUUGUGACUGCCCGGCUAGAGUGUGUCAGAGGGGGGUAGAAUUCCACGUGUAGCAGUGAAAUGCGUAGAUAUGUGGAGGAAUACCGAUGGCGAAGGCAGCCCCCUGGGAUAACACUGACGCUCAUGCACGAAAGCGUGGGGAGCAAACAGG
rnacentral:rRNA from 1 species